rnacentral:rRNA from 1 species
GACGAACGCUGGCGGCGUGCUUAACACAUGCAAGUCGAACGGUAAGGCCCUUCGGGGUACACGAGUGGCGAACGGGUGAGUAACACGUGGGUGAUCUGCCCUGCACUUCGGGAUAAGCCUGGGAAACUGGGUCUAAUACCGGAUAGGACCACUGCCUGCAUGGGUGGUGGUGGAAAGCUUUUGCGGUGUGGGAUGGGCCCGCGGCCUAUCCGCUUGUUGGUGGGGUGAUGGCCUACCAAGGCGACGACGGGUAGCCGGCCUGAGAGGGUGACCGACCACACUGGGACUGAGAUACGGCCCAGACUCCUACGGGAGGCAGCAGUGGGGAAUAUUGCACAAUGGGCGCAAGCCUGAUGCAGCGACGCCGCGUGAGGGAUGACGGCCUUCGGGUUGUAAACCUCUUUCAGCACCGACGAAGCGCAAGUGACGGUAGGUGCAGAAGAAGGACUGGCCAACUACGUGCCAGCCGCCGCGGUAA